GUAGAGGAUGAGAGGGGGAACGAAUGGCUUACUGAACACACCGCCAAGAGGGACAAACCCUGUCAGAGCCAAGCAUGUAUCAUUCUUUCCCAUAACUAGGCAUGUGGUAUCGCCGAGGGCACUUACGAGCUUUGUGUGCGGGCUGGCCGGCUCUAGCCUGUCCUUGUCCUUGCUUGUGCAUAUGCCUCCUGCGAGUUAAAUCCUGUUCAGGAGGUGACGGGCCACCACAGUGGACUGCAGGGGACAGAGAAUUCACCCUUGCCGUCAGCUUUCAUUAUCAGAGUGGCCAUCGGAUCUGCACCGAUUGGAGGGUGUCCACCAGAUGAGAUGGCUUUUGUGGAACGGGCCAGAUGUCUGUGUUGGGUGUGCCGUU